rnacentral:rRNA from 1 species
UACGGGGGGGCAAGCGUUGUUCGGAAUUACUGGGCGUAAAGGGCUCGUAGGCGGCCAACUAAGUCAGACGUGAAAUCCCUCGGCUUAACCGGGGAACUGCGUCUGAUACUGGAUGGCUAGAGUGUGGGAGAGGGAUGCGGAAUUCCAGGUGUAGCGGUGAAAUGCGUAGAUAUCUGGAGGAACACCGGUGGCGAAGGCGGCAUCCUGGACCACGACUGACGCUGAGUGAGCGAAAGCCAGGGAGCAAAGCGGG